GACGAACGCUGGCGGCGUGCUUAACACAUGCAAGUCGAACGCUGAAGCCUAGCUUGCUGGGUGGAUGAGUGGCGAACGGGUGAGUAACACGUGAGUAACCUGCCCUCUUCUUUGGGAUAACGCCCGGAAACGGGUGCUAAUACUGGAUAUUCACUGGCCUUCGCAUGGGGGUUGGUGGAAAGGUUUUUUCUGGUGGGGGAUGGGCUCGCGGCCUAUCAGCUUGUUGGUGGGGUGAUGGCCUACCAAGGCUUUGACGGGUAGCCGGCCUGAGAGGGUGACCGGUCACAUUGGGACUGAGAUACGGCCCAGACUCCUACGGGAGGCAGCAGUGGGGAAUAUUGCACAAUGGGCGAAAGCCUGAUGCAGCGACGCCGCGUGAGGGAUGGAGGCCUUCGGGUUGUAAACCUCUUUCGCUCAUGGUCAAGCCGCAACGUUUGGUUGUGGUGAGGGUAGUGGGUAAAGAAGCGCCGGCUAACUACGUGCCAGCAGCCGCGGUAAUACGUAGGGCGCGAGCGUUGUCCGGAAUUAUUGGGCGUAAAGGGCUUGUAGGCGGUUGGUCGCGUCUGCCGUGAAAUCCUCUGGCUUAACUGGGGGCGUGCGGUGGGUACGGGCUGACUUGAGUGCGGUAGGGGAGACUGGAACUCCUGGUGUAGCGGUGGAAUGCGCAGAUAUCAGGAAGAACACCGGUGGCGAAGGCGGGUCUCUGGGCCGUUACUGACGCUGAGGAAGCGAAAGCGUGGGGGAGCGAACAGGG
rnacentral:rRNA from 1 species